AGGCUACGGCAGAUGCUCAAAAUUAUAACCUCGUUUCACUUGGAUAAUUUUGGCAGAGGAAAGUCCGAACACCGUUCGCACGUUGCGAUCAUAAGUGGUCGGUAACACCGACCAGUCCAAUGGUGACAUUGAACUAGGGAAAGUGCCACAGAAACCAUACAGCAACGCCUCUUCCGCCAUCCGCCAACUGGCGGAGGCGGACAUGCAACGCUUAAGUUGAAAAGUGUCUGUAAAACAGACUCUGCGAUAUGGCGACAUACCGCGGUGACAAACCCCACUUGGUGCAAGGCCGUGCCCCAAUACAUAUUGGGUAGUGCCGCUUGAGACAUUGUGGCAACAUAAUGUCCAGAUAAAUAGCUCUCGCCAUUUUUGUCCAAAUCUAUGAUUUGGUUACAAAAUUGAGCGUUCGCCGUAGCUUUAUG
rnacentral:RNase_P_RNA from 1 species